AUGCUUUCAGAUAAAAGAUUUUCAUCUUUGAACAAUGAUAAGAGAGAUAAAAUUUAUGAUAUAUUCCUUGAAUAUGAGAGUAUGAAAUGUACUGCCAAGGAGUUUGAUUUGUCAGAUUUUGUCAAUAGUCUUCACAGCAGUCUUGUAUCUGAGGGCUACCAUGGCGAUAUGGUGGAUUUUGUUUACAUAGAUGAGGUACAGGAUCUCACCAUGACACAAAUAGCACUUCUUAAGUAUGUCUGUAUGAACAUCAAGGAAGGCUUCCUUUUUGCUGGUGAUACUGCACAGACUAUAGCAAGAGGUAUCGAUUUCAGGUUUGAAGAUAUCCGUUCACUUUUUUAUACUGCAUUCCUGGCAGAAACAGAAGUGUCAAAUCAAGGACUUAAACACGGUAAAAAGGUCCAUCUCUCUGAUAUGUUCCAACUGUCUCAAAAUUUCCGCACACAUUGUGGCAUCCUCCGUAUGGCACAAAGUAUCAUGAGCCUUCUGUACUUCUUUUUCCCAUCAAGUGUUGACAAGCUUAAUCCAGAGACUGGACUUGUAUACGGAGAAGCUCCUGUGCUGCUGGAGUCUGAUAACGAUGAAAAUGUAAUUAUGACCAUUUUUGGAGAAAGCAAAACCAAACAUGGUAACCUGCACGGGUUUGGUGCUGAGCAAGUCAUACUGGUUCGUGAUGAUGCUGCCAAAAAACAAAUUAUUGAUCUUGUUGGUAAACAAGCUCUUGUUUUGACCAUUGUUGAAUGUAAGGGCCUUGAGUUUCAGGAUGUGCUGUUGUACAACUUUUUUGGUUCGUCGCCUUUAAGAAACAAAUGGAGAGUUCUCUAUGGCUACAUGAAAGAUAGAGAUAUUAUAUCACACUCUGAGGAGAUCUCUCAUCCUGGUUUCGACAGAAGCAAGCAUUAUCUUCUCUGUUCAGAGCUGAAGCAACUAUAUGUUGCAAUCACACGCACUAGGCAAAGACUCUGGAUAUGUGAAAAUACGGAGGAUUACUGUCGACCAAUGUUUGACUACUGGAAGAAGUUGUGUCUAGUAGAAGUUAGAUUACUAGAUUCUUCCCUCAUUCAGGCAAUGCAGACGGGGAGCAGCAGUGAUGAUUGGAGGCUACGGGGAACCAAGUUAUUCAAUGAGGGGCAAUUCGAGAUGGCUACUAUGUGCUUUGAAAAGGCCGGUGAUGCACAUAGAGAGAAGUUGGCGAGAGCUGCUGGACUUGUAGCGACUGCUAACCGUGUCAUCUCAACAAAUUUGGAGUUGGGCAAGGCUUCAUUGCAAACAGCAUCAGAGAUUUACGAGUCCAUAGGCAUGCAUGAGAAAGCUGCUACUUGCUAUAUCAAAUUAGGUAUGGUCUAUAUGCAAAAAUGCGGUACUUCUAAACUUGAGGAUGCUGGUGAUUGUUUUGCUAUGGCUGAAUGCUGGUCGGAGGCAGCUGAAGUGUUCUUGAAAGCUAAAUGUUACACAAAGUGUUUCUCCAUGUGCUCGAAAGGGAAAAAAUUAUUCAAUCUGGGCCUACAGUUUCUGCAGCAGUUAGAGGAGGAACAUUCGCUUGAGAAUUCAAAAUCUUUGGAGGUUUCUGCAAUUAGAACAAAGUAUCUGGAUAAUUGUGCUCAACAUUAUUUUGAGCGUGGUCACAUAAAGCAUAUGAUGCCUUUUGUUAAAGCUUUCAGCUCUAUGGAUCAUGUACGGGCAUUCCUAAAUUCUCGGAAUCUUGUUGAUGAACUGUUGAGUUUAGAGAUGGAGAUGGGUAAUUUCCUAGAAGCUGCAGGAAUAGCAAAGCAUAAUGGAGAUGUCUUACUGGAGGUAGACAUGCUCGAGAAGGCAGGCUUGUUUGAGGAUGCGACACGGCUUCUCCUCCUCCAUAUCAUUGUGGAUUCCUUGUGGUCUUCAAAUAGUAGAGGGUGGCCUCCCAAAAGAUAUGCAGAGAAGGAACAGUUGCUUUCAAAAGCAAAAGAGAUGGCAGAAAAGGUAUCCGAGUGCUUCUACUGCUUUGUUUGCGUGGAAGCUGAUGCACUGUCAGAUGUUAACAAGUCUCUUCCCAGUUUAAAUUGCACUUUGGUUGAGGGCAGAAAAUGUGCAAACUUGUUAGUUGAACUCGUUGCUUCCCGUUCGAUUCUUGAUGUUCAUCUCCAGUCUCGAGCCUCUGGAUACAAUAUAGAAUUAGGGCCAGGAUCUGAGGAUGAAAAUUGUUGUAAUGAUAUGCUGGCCUCUAACCAGAUGUCACCCCAAACUCUGUUUUAUGUUUGGAAUAACUGGAAGUCAAUCAUAAUCAAAGUACUAUCUCAACUUUGCCACGCCGAUGGUCCAGAAUUAAAUGAUUAUGCAGUUAUGUAUGAAGAUCUUUGUGCCAAGUACUUUUGGAUUGCGAAAAGAUGGUGA
rnacentral:rRNA from 1 species